GUUAGGAAUUUUGCGCAAUGGGCGAAAGCCUGACGCAGCAACGCCGCGUGAGGGAGGAAGGCCUUCGGGUUGUAAACCUCUUUCGGUUGGAAAGAAAAAAAUGACGGUACCAACAGAAGAAGCACCGGCUAACUACGUGCCAGCAGCCGCGGUAAUACGUAGGGUGCAAGCGUUAUUCGGAUUCACUGGGCGUAAAGCGCAUGUAGGCGGUUUGCCAAGUCUGAUGUGAAAUCCCUGGACUCAAUUCAGGAACUGCAUCGGAUACUGGUUUACUCGAGUAUAGGAGGGGAGAGCGGAAUUUCUGGUGUAGAGGUGAAAUUCGUAGAUAUCAGAAGGAACAACGGUGGCGAAAGCGGCUCUCUGGACUAUAACUGACGCUGAGAUGCGAAAGCGUGGGGAGCAAACAGGAUUAGAAACCCUAGUAGUCC
rnacentral:rRNA from 1 species